rnacentral:rRNA from 1 species
AUUGAACGCUGGCGGCAGGCUUAACACAUGCAAGUCGAGCGAGCGGCGGACGGGUGAGUAAUGUCUGGGACACUGCCUGAUGGAGGGGGAUAACUACUGGAAACGGUAGCUAAUACCGCAUACCAUCAGAUGUGCCCAGAUGGGAUUAGCUAGUAGGUGGGGUAAUGGCUCACCUAGGCGACGAUCCCUAGCUGGUCUGAGAGGAUGACCAACGAGAAUGGAACUGAGACACGGGCCAGACUCCUACGGUAGGGAGCAGUAGGGAAUAUUGCACAAUGGGCGCAAGCCUGAUGCAGCCAUGCCGCGUGUGUGAAGAAGGCCUUCGGGUUGUAAAGCACUUUCAGCGAGGAGGCGUUACUCGCAGAAGAAGCGCCGGCGAACUCCGGGCCAGCAGCCGCGGUAAUUC